CUCUCUGGCUAAAGAUCUGAAUCAAUUCAAGGCUUUUUGAUCUUGUUGGAGGGACGACAUCAACGAGAGAAAAAGAGAGAGAAGCCAUGAACACGAUGCACAGCGUAGAGGUGAGCACCACCGGCGAGCUCAACUAGGUCGACAUCGAGUCCGGUGAGGUCUUGUGCCCUGGCCUCAGUAGCGAGAACCAGCUCCGUUGGGGUUUCAUACGCAAGGUCUACUGCAUCUUAUCCGCUCAGCUUCUCCUCACCACCGACAUCUCCUUCGUCACCGUUCUCUACACUCCCGUCAAGGAUGAGAUGGAAAUGGCAAAGGCUGGUGGGGAAGUUGUGGUGGAGAAGUCUAAUACAUGUGAAGAAUGUGGUGCUAGUUUCAAGAAACCUGCAUAUCUCAAGAAGCGUAUGCAAAGCCAUUCUCCUGAGAUUCAUGACAAGUUAAAAGGAGCUACAGUCAAUAUUAAAAUUUGACGAAGGAAGUUGUGAAUCAGAUUUGAAGGAGAUAUCCAGGUAUUAUUUCAUUUCACCUCUCUCUCUCUCU